UGUUACGAAUCUGCUUGCGAGUUUGGGAAUUUAGGAUUAGAGGAGCAGAUUCGAACAGAGAGAAAGGGGUAGGAGGAAGGGGAAGAACAGAAGAGAGAACUUGGAGCAGGGGAAGAUGCAGUAGUUAGGGAGGAAUAGUUUUCUGUUCACUUGUUCGAUGCCUUUUCCCCUCUGCUCACUCGUGCUUAUAUACUCGCACGUUUACAUUCUGGACCUAAGCCCAUUCCGGCCCAGUUACUCUCACAUUAGGCCUGCGUACUCUUGCUGGUCGCGUCUUCAUUGGAUUACUUGCCGUGAGUAAUGUCGGACCUGGUACAGUACCGGUGACAUUCCCCUCUUCUUCAGAAACGGCUUGUCCCCAAGCCGGUGCUUCAGGGAAACGCGCACGCAGUGCAGCACCAUCCUCCCAGGUUGCUUCAGCGGACGUCUGACCAGACCAACGAAUCUUGAGUUGUUCCACAGCUCCAGCGCCUUUCUUGACUGCACGACGAGCAAGAAUUUGAACUGGUAGCGCUUCAUCUUCAGUUAACGCUGGCAGGUCUUGAAUCGACGAGUCAGGAGCUGGUGAAGAAGCCUGACAGAGCUGUGAGACAUGUACUACUGGAUGAAUAGCACAAGUUGUCGGUAGUUGCAGGCGAUAAGCCACGCUUCCAAUGCGCGCCAAGAUCUGAAAGGGACCAAAAUAACGGAAAGCCAAUUUGUGAUUAGAACGUCCUGUCAAGGAGAACUGAGCAUGCGGCUGUGCCUUCAGGAACACCCAGUCACCAACUUCAAACUCACGAUCAGAACGUUUCUUGUCAGCCUGGAACUUCAUACGUUGCUGAGCUCGUAACAGAUGUUGUCGCAGCAAACUGGUAAUCACUUCCCGUUCCUUCAGCCAGUCUUGCAAAUCUGGAACAGCACACUCAAAGCGAUCGAGCACACCAAAAUGCCGAGGAGAAUGACCAUAUAAUACCUCAAAUGGUGAUUUGUCCAGAGCCGAAUGGAAGGCAGUAUUGUACCAGAAUUCCGCCAAAGCGAGCCAACGAUACCACCUCUUAGGGCAAGCGUGCACAAAGCAUCUCAAAAAGGUUUCCAAGCACUGAUUUACCCAUUCGGUUUGGCCGUCCGUUUGAGGAUGGACUGUUUGCCAAGCAUGCUUGGGCACUGGAAGAGGCUGUAAGAAACCUGGGUACCGAACCCGUUCUGCUUUGGCCUGUUUACAGAUGGAACAAGCCGACACAAACUGGCGCACAGCUUUUCUGAGUCCAGGCCAAGCAAAUAACUUAUUCACUCGACUGAAGGUUGCCUGAGUACCAGAAUGACCCCCAAUUGCUGCAUUGUGCAGUGCAGUCAGAACCUUAGUCUGUAACUCCACAUUGUUACCCAACCAAAUCCUUCCCUUAUGGUAGAUAAUGCCAUUCUGUAAUCUGUACUCAGGGAGCGCCUCUGGACUUAACGAGAGCUUAGUCAACAGUUGAGAGGAAACUUGAUCCUGAGCAUAUCCCAGCUGCACAUCUGCCAACCAAACUGGAAUACAGGAAGACACCGCACUGAGUUGAAACACAUCGGUUGACUGAUUGCGUGACAAAGCAUCGGCGGCUUUAUUUUCCAGUCCCUUCUUAUAGACAAUUCUUCUUAUAGACAAUUCUGUAUUGUAAACCAAGCAGUUUGGUCAGAGCACGCUGUUGCCAAGGUGUUACUAAUCUUUGAUCAUCCAAAUGAAUCAAACUGCGCUGGUCAGUACGGAUUAUAAACUCUCCAAACUGCAAGUAAGAGCGCCAUUGUUCCACAGCGAGAAGAAUCGCCAAGCACUCCUUCUCGUAAGUGGACAGCCCUUGAUUUCGAGGCCCCAAAGAUUUACUGAGAAAGGCUAACGGAUGACCAGCUUGCAUCAGCACAGCGCCAACACCCUUAUCACACGCAUCAGUCUCAAUUUCAAAAACUUUGGAGAAAUCCGGUAGUGCUAGGACAGGAGCCGAAACUAGAGCUUCCUUCAAGGCAUCAAAAGACGCUUGAUGCUCCGACGUCCAAACAAACACCACAUUCUUCUUGAGCAGAUCAGUAAGGGGCCUGCUGAUAAUACCAAAAGAGCGUACAAACUUCCGAUAGUACCCCGCAAGACCCAAAAAUCCUCGCACUUCCUUCACAUUACAGGGUACUGCCCAGUUGCGCACCGCUUGAAUAUUCUUUGAGUCAGUGGCCACACCUUCUGCACUAAUAACAUGCCCAAGAUAUGUUAGACUUGCACGGGCGAACGAGCAUUUGCUUCUCUUGACCUUAAGUUGAUGAUCAGUUAGCAAUUGAAACACCCGUCGCAGCAAGGCUACAUGGUCGUCCAAAUUUUGACUAUAGAUUAAGAUGUCAUCUAUAAACACCAACACUCCUUUGCGAAGCAAUGGAGCUAAGAUCUGAUUCAUCAAUCCUUGGAAGGUAGCCGGGGCUCCGGUAAGGCCGUAGGACAUAACCCUGAAUUCGUAGUGUCCAUUGUGCGUCUUAAACGCUGUUUUGUGCUCAUCUUCUGGGCGCAUCCGGAUCUGAUGAUAGCCAGCUCUUAAAUCCAAACUCGUGAAUAAACAGGAGCCCGCCAAUUCAUCAAGCAACUCAUCGAUAAUUGGCAAAGGGUAGCGAUUCUUGACUGUAAUUGCAUUAAGGUGGCGGUAGUCAAUACAGAAUCGCCAAGUAAGGUCCUUCUUAAGCACCAGCAGAACAGGUGAUGAAAAAGGACUAGAGCUGGGUUGUAUGAUUCCCUGUUGGAGCAUAUCCGCAACUUGCCGUUCAAUCUCAUCUUUUUGAGCUGGAUUAUAUCGAUAAGGUCGCAAGUUAACAGGUUUUGCUCCUGGCAGUAAAGGAAUUGAAUGGUCAAAGACCCUGGCCGGUGGUAAACCUUGUGGCUCAUCAAAGACAUGAACAAAUUCUUUCAACAACUGGUCGACAGCCUGAGGUACUUCUGUAUUUGUUGUUUCCUUGAUCAGAGAACACAACUCAACCACUUGCAUCACAGCUUCCCGAUGAAUCAGUCCUUGAACUUGAUUGACAGAUAGAGAUGUACAGCUGCUAAUAUCAGCUCUAACACCUCGCAAACAAACAUCCUUUUGUGCAUGUUUAAAUCUCAGAGUCUUAGCCCUCCAAUCAAUUUGCAUAGGACUGUGUUGCUCAAGCCAAUCCAUUCCAAGUAUUACGUCAUAACUUCCAAGAGGUAACACUUUCAGGUUGUUCUGAAAAGAAACACCCUGAACCAGCCAAAGACAAUUCUGCAUUUCUUUGUUACAUUGGAGUAUUCCCCCAUCAGCAACCCGAACUCGAAAAGAUUGCACAGUUUUCUGAUUGCCUCUUAUCUUGCCUGCCAUUUCUUCAGAUAUAAAGCUAUGAGUGCUGCCAGAGUCUACAAGCAUCAUUAUCUCAUACUGUUGUAUUAAUCCUUGCAGCCUCAAAGUUCCAGAAGAUUCAGUCCCUAGCAUAGCUUCUUUAGAAAUCUGACAGACUUCGCUAACAGUUUCAGAAGCCCUUUCUGUCAGCUCAUCAGUUCCAGCGGAUUUGGUUUCCCCAUCCGAUUCCUCAAGCAGGUCGAGUAACUCCUCCACAACAUGUAACUGCACAGUUGGCCCACACUUAUGUUCCCUACUCCAUUUUUCCCCACAAGUGUGACACAAUCCCUUAGCCUUGCGAUAAGCACAUAGUGCUGCCACUCGAUCCUCCAGAGGCUGAGUUCUGUCAUCAACUCGCCCACCAGCUCGCCCAGGAGUGAAAGCAACAUUCCCCACAGUACGCUGUCCGACCCGAUGAGAAAAACCUCCAUCAAUCCGACGCGAAUCCCGUCGUCCCGCUUCCAACACCUCUUCCUGUAAACAAGCAAGGUCCACAGCAGUAUCCAAAUCGUUUGGACGAUGUAAAAUUACGGCUGCGCGAACUUCAGGUUUCAGUCCAUCAAGGAAUUCAGUAAUGAAGAAUACUGAAUUCCAGGAUGGAUGAUGAGCAUAGAGUUGAUGCAUCAGCUCAUUGAAUUUUUCUGCAUAACUAAGAACGGUUCCCUCCUGCCUAAGCCUCUUGAACUGUCUAAUGAGACUCUGAAAUUCCUCCCUCCCGAACUUAGCACAAACAGCCUCCGAGAAAUCAUUCCACCCCAUCAAUUCCACAUGAGCAUUGGUGGAUUGCAACCACACUAGAGCACUCCCCGAAAAUUGCAAAGCAGCAACCCCAACCCACACAUCCGGGCUAAUCCCACUUACUCGGAAAUAAGUUUCGCAUUUCAUUUUCCAGGCUCUAGGGUUCUCUCCUUCAAAUUGUGGGCAAUCUACUCUAGCAUUACCCCCAUGGAAUCCCUUGGCCGGGAGAGACGUUGGAGAGAAAUCAUCUCCAGACGCCUUCCCCCGAUUCAUCGUUGCAACGUUGCGGCCUCACGGCCCUGAACUCGCGUCCGCCCCUUUGGAGGCCGUCUCCUCCUCCUUCGGCACCGUCGGCGUGGGUAGAAGAGGGGGCAGAUCCGCUGGCUUGACGGCGAGAAUUGGAUUGCGGGAUAUCCGCUCCACUUGCUGGCGCAGGUCGCCGAGGUCGUCCCGCAUCUCCGUCAUGGCCUUGUCCACCGCCGGUUUCCAGCUCGCGAGCUCCACCACCAUAGGCUUGAUUUCCUCCAAGGAUCCCAUCGAAGCUUGGAUGGCGGUAUUCUGCUUCUGGAUUGUCGCCAUGGCCGCCGCGAGUUCCGCCAAUUGUUGCUCCAUCUCUUGGGACUUGAGUUGCGCACGGGAAUAGUAUCUAGGUUUGUCGAGGUACUCCAGGAUGGAUGGCUCUGAUACCUAUUGUUACGAAUCUGCUUGCGAGUUUGGGAAUUUAGGAUUAGAGGAGCAGAUUCGAACAGAGAGAAAGGGGUAGGAGGAAGGGGAAGAACAGAAGAGAGAACUUGGAGCAGGGGAAGAUGCAGUAGUUAGGGAGGAAUAGUUUUCUGUUCACUUGUUCGAUGCCUUUUCCCCUCUGCUCACUCGUGCUUAUAUACUCGCACGUUUACAUUCUGGACCUAAGCCCAUUCCGGCCCAGUUACUCUCACAUUAGGCCUGCGUACUCUUGCUGGUCGCGUCUUCAUUGGAUUACUUGCCGUGAGUAAUGUCGGACCUGGUACAGUACCGG
rnacentral:lncRNA from 1 species